rnacentral:misc_RNA from 1 species
GCAAACUUGGUCAUUUAGAGGAAGUACAAGUCGUAACAAGGUUUCCGUAGGUGAACCUGCGGAAGGAUCAUUACUAAAUCCAUUAUCUCCAAUGAUAAUACAACAACAACCUGUUGAAAUGUGUGGUGCGCGUGUCUAUUAUCAUCGCGCUACACAUCCAUCAUCACGUCGCAUGGACGAGAGAAAUCUCGAUAAUGAGAUGAUGAUGAUGUAUGUGGGUGGUGAUGAUUUGAGACACACAUUUACGCACACAACAAUCCCAAUCACGAUGUAUUCUUGACACACCGAUAUCAUAUCAUUAUUAUUAUUAUAAUAACAUAAAGACAACUUUUAACAAUGGAUCUCUUGGCUCUUGCAUCGAUGAAGAACGCAGC